rnacentral:tRNA from 1 species
AGGGGUGUAGCUCAACUGGAAGAGCAGCGGCCUCCAAAACCGCGAGUUGCAGGUUCGAGUCCUGUCACCCCUG